rnacentral:rRNA from 1 species
UAGCCGUAAACGAUACUCGCUAGGUGUCGGCCACGGUGCGACCGUUGUCGGUGCCGUAGGGAAGCCGUGAAGCGAGCCACCUGGGAAGUACGGCCGCAAGGCUGAAACUUAAAGGAAUUGGCGGGGGAGCACCACAACGGGUGGAGCUUGCGGUUUAAUUGGAUUCAACGCCGGAAAUCUUACCGGGACCGACAGCAACAUGAAGGCCAGGCUGAAGACUUUGCCGGAUUAGCUGAGAGGUGGUGCAUGGCGUGUGACUGU